rnacentral:rRNA from 1 species
CCUACGGGUGGCAGCAGUGAGGAAUAUUGGUCAAUGGGCGGAAGCCUGAACCAGCCAAGUAGCGUGCAGGAUGACGGCCCUACGGGUUGUCAACUGCUUUUAUACGAGGGUAAAUCCCGAUACGUGUAUCUGGUUGAAAGUAUCGUACGAAUAAGGAUCGGCUAACUCCGUGCCAGCAGCCGCGGUAAUACGGAGGAUUCGAGCGUUAUCCGGAUUUAUUGGGUUUAAAGGGUGCGUAUGCGGUUCGAUAAGUUAGCGGUGAAAUCCCGGGGCUCAACUCCGGCACUGCCUCUGAUACUGUCGGGCUAGAGUUUAGUUGCGGUAGGCGGAAUGUAUGGUGUAGCGGUGAAAUGCAUAGAGAUCAUACAGAACACCGAUUGCGAAGGCAGCUUACCAAACUACGACUGACGUUGAGGCACGAAAGCGUGGGGAGCAAACAGGAUUAGAUACCCGAGUAGUC